rnacentral:rRNA from 1 species
UACGUAGGGGCUAGCGUUGUCCGGAAUCAUUGGGCGUAAAGCGCGUGUAGGCGGUUCGGUAAGUCCGCUGUGAAAGUCGGGGCUCAACCCUCGGAUGCCGGUGGAUACUGUCGGACUAGAGUGCGGAAGAGGCGAGUGGAAUUCCUGGUGUAGCGGUGAAAUGCGCAGAUAUCAGGAAGAACACCCGUGGCGAAAGCGGCUCUCUGGAACGGUACUGACGCUGAGACGCGAAAGCGUGGGGAGCGAACAGG